rnacentral:rRNA from 1 species
GAGUUUGAUUAUGGCUCAGGACAAACGCUGGCGGCGUGCUUAACACAUGCAAGUCGAACGAUGAAACGGAACGGAAAUUUUCGGAUGGAAGUUCUGUGGAUUAGUGGCGGACGGGUGAGUAAUGCAUGAAGAACCUGCCUUUCACAUAGGAAUAGCCUCGGGAAACCGGGAUUAAUACCAAAUGACACUCCGAGAUCGCAUGUUUUUGGGGUUAAAGAUUUUAUCGGUGAAAGAUGGCUUCAUGUCCCAUUAGCUGGUUGGUGAGGUAACGGCUCACCAAGGCGACGAUGGGUAGCCGGCCUGAGAGGGUGAACGGCCACAUUGGAACUGAGACACGGUCCAAACUCCUACGGGAGGCAGCAGUGGGGAAUAUUGCACAAUGGAGGAAACUCUGAUGCAGCGACGCCGCGUGAGCGAUGAAGGUCUUCGGAUCGUAAAGCUCUGUCCUAAGGGACGAUAAUGACGNACCUAGGAGGAGUUCCGG